AGGACGAACGCUGGCGGCGUGCUUAACACAUGCAAGUCGAACGGAAAGGCCCUUCGGGGGUACUCGAGUGGCGAACGGGUGAGUAACACGUGGGUGAUCUGCCCUGCACUUUGGGAUAAGCCUGGGAAACUGGGUCUAAUACCGAAUACACCCUGCUGGUCGCAUGGCCUGGUGGGGGAAAGCUUUUGCGGUGUGGGAUGGGCCCGCGGCCUAUCAGCUUGUUGGUGGGGUGAUGGCCUACCAAGGCGACGACGGGUAGCCGGCCUGAGAGGGUGUCCGGCCACACUGGGACUGAGAUACGGCCCAGACUCCUACGGGAGGCAGCAGUGGGGAAUAUUGCACAAUGGGCGCAAGCCUGAUGCAGCGACGCCGCGUGAGGGAUGACGGCCUUCGGGUUGUAAACCUCUUUCAAUAGGGACGAAGCGCAAGUGACGGUACCUAUAGAAGAAGCACCGGCCAACUACGUGCCAGCCGCCGC
rnacentral:rRNA from 1 species